GUGCCAGCCGCCGCGGUAACACGUAGGAGGCAAGCGUUAUCCGGAUUUACUGGGCGUAAAGGGCGUGCAGGUGGUUUUGCAAGUGGUGCGUGAAAGCGCUCGGCUCAACCGGGCGAGGGCGUGCCAAACUGCGAGACUAGAAACAGGCAGAGGAAAGUGGAAUUCGGGGUGUAGUGGUGAAAUGCGUAGAGAUCCCGAGGAACUCCAGUGGCGAAGGCGACUUUCUGGGCCUGCUUUGACACUCAGACGCGAAAGCAUGGGGAGCGAACGGGAUUAGAAACCCGCGUAGUCC
rnacentral:rRNA from 1 species